CCCUCCGACGUCGAGCCCUAACUCUUCCCUGAGGUUUCAAACUCCGACCUUCAUCUCAAAUCCGACCGCGGAACCCAGAUCGAGCUCUAACUUUCAAUUACCAGGUCACCGCUGCUCCGCGUCCCCGUCUGAAAUCGCCGCCGACUGCUGCUGCUUCGCCUGGAGUCGUCGCCGACUGGAGUUGCUGCUGCUCGUCCGGUGGUCAGCGGACGUCGUCUGGGAGCGCCGCCGCCGGUCUUCCACGGCUACCGCGUCGCCGUCCCCUUCACCUCUCGAUCCGACCUCAGCCGAGGCGGGUGCCGCCGCCGCCGCUGUCCAGAAUCGGCGAGGGUACUUCGCCGCUGCUUCUCCGGCGUUCGGCUCUUCCUUCUCUGUCCGUUGAGCUCCGUCAGGCAGCAGGAGAUGCCGCUGAAAUCUGUCAUCUGCUCAAGAACCAGCUCAAGCCUCUCUCUCUCUCUUGGUUCAGGCGAUGUCGCCUCUGCUCAGCUGACGACCUCCAUCUCCUCUUCAUCGGUCAGCGUUGACGUCAUCUGGUAUCCCUCCCCGAUUUAAUGAAAUCAGGUACAACAAAUACUACUCCUAUCUUUCCCCAAAAUACUAGGUUCGGUUUCACUAGAUCGUGAAGGAAAUUCUCAUUCUAUAGUCUAUGUUUUUCAUAAAAAUGAGUUCAUAUAAUCUGUUGGUUUGCUAGUGAGUUCUAUGUCGAUAAUAUGGUCAUGCUUCUCCUCUCAUACUGUGCAUUUCUAAAACUGGGUAUAUGCUGCAUAUAGCCGGAACUUGAAUAAACUGAAAUAAUGAAUACCUUGCGAAUGUUUUGGGCUUGGUUGGCUGCUGUGAUGUUGAGUUAAAAGAACUGGAAUGACUGAACUGAAAGAUCAAACUUGUUUCUUUCAAUAACUGUAAGUUGUAAUUGGAAGGAGAUGAUGAAUCAAUACUAAUUUUUUUACCUUAAUGUUUCUGGCAGAGAGUGAAUGAGUGAUUUCUCUCACUUUUCGGUUGUAGUGCAUUGAAUGAAUUGAAACUUGAAAACAUUGGCAGGUUGAAAUGGAGGCUCCCCUGCUCUUUGGGAGAUUCUUGGUGAAAAGUGAUAGUGAGUCUUGCGUUGCUUGGCUGAAGUUGAGACUAAGAUAAGGAAGAGUUGUUGCUGCACUAGUAUGGUGGGGGAGUUGGUGGUUGUGGAGUUGGUGGGGAGAAAAGGAUGGUGGGAAGUGUGGUGGAGUGGAUGGUGGAAGAGUAGGUGUAGUGGUGGAAAAAAAAUGUAGUGGAGGAUUAAUGAUGUAUAUUCUAUGUCUCG
rnacentral:lncRNA from 1 species